GACAGAGGUGCCGAGCGUUAGGCGGAAUCACUGGGCUUAAAGCGUGUGUAGGCGGAUCGUUAAGUACCUUGUGAAAUCCCACGGCUUAACCGUGGAACUGCUUGGUAUACUGGCGAUCUUGAGCCACUUAGGGGCUACCGGAACAAAUGGUGGAGCGGUGAAAUGCGUAGAUAUCAGGAAGAACACCCGUGGCGAAAGCGGCUCUCUGGAACGGUACUGACGCUGAGACGCGAAAGCGUGGGGAGCGAACAGG
rnacentral:rRNA from 1 species